rnacentral:rRNA from 1 species
GAUGAACGCUGGCGGCGUGCCUAAUACAUGCAAGUCGAGCGAACAGACGAGGAGCUUUCCCCUCUGACGUUAGCGGCGGGCGGGUGAGUAACACGUGGAUACCCUACCUAUAAGACUGAGAUAACUUCGGGAAACCGGAGAUCAUAUACGAUAAUAUAUAGAACCGCAGGGUUCAUCAGUGAAAAACGUAUCUGCUGUCACUUGUACAUGUAUCCUCGCCGCAUUAGCUAGUUGGUAAGGUAACGGCGUACCAAGGCAACGAUGCGUAGCCGACCUGAGAGGGUGAUCGGCCACACUGGAACUGAGACACGGUCCAGACUCCUACGGGAGGCAGCAGUAGGGAAUCUUCCGCAAUGGGCGAAAGCCUGACGGAGCAACGCCGCGUGAGUGAUGAAGGUCUUCGGAUCGUAAAACUCUGUUAUUAGGGAAGAACAAAUGUGUGAGUAACUAUGCAUGUCUUGACGGUACCUAAUCAGAAAGCCACGGCUAACUACGUG